rnacentral:rRNA from 1 species
CCUACGGGCGGCAGCAGUGAGGAAUAUUGGUCAAUGGACGGAAGUCUGAACCAGCCAUGCCGCGUGCAGGAAGACGGCUCUAUGAGUUGUAAACUGCUUUUGUACAAGGGUAAACCUGAAUACGUGUAUUCAGCUGAAAGUACUGUACGAAUAAGGAUCGGCUAACUCUGUGCCAGCAGCCGCGGUAAUACGGAGUAUCCAAGCGUUAUCCGGAUUUAUUGGGUAUAAAGGGUGGGUAGGCGGAUUGAAAAGUUAGAGUUGAAACGUCCGGGUUUAACACGGUAACUGUCUCGAAUACUGUUGAUCUAGAGAGUAGAUGCGGUAGCCGGAAUGUAUGGUGUAGCGGUGAAAUGCUUAGAGAUCAUACAGAACACCGAUUGCGAAGGCAGCUUACCAAUCUAUAUCUGACGUUGAGGCACGAAAGCGUAGGGAGCAAACAGGAUUAGAUACCCCUGUAGUC